rnacentral:rRNA from 1 species
AAUGGGGGCAACCCUGAUCCAGCAACGCCGCGUGAGGGAUGAAGGUCUUCGGAUUGUAAACCUCUUUUGUGAGGGAAGAACUGUCACGUGAAGAACGUGAUUUGACGGUACUUCAUGAAUAAGCCACGGCUAACUUCGUGCCAGCAGCCGCGGUAAUACGAAGGUGGCAAGCGUUACUCGGAAUUACUAGGCGUAAAGCGCAGGUAGGUGGUUGGAUAAGUCUGUUAUGAAAUCUCCCGGCUUAACUGGGAGCGGUUAAUGGAUACUGUCCGGCUCGAGUGUGGGAGAGGUAACUGGAAUUCCAGGUGUAGCGGUGAAAUGCGUAGAUAUCUGGAGGAACACCAAUGGCGAAAGCAGGUUACUGGCCCAAUACUGACACUGAGCUGCGAAAGCUAGGGGAGCAAA